rfam:Ixodes scapularis strain Wikel colony gcontig_1107729106288, whole genome shotgun sequence.
UCCUGGUUAGCUGAGUUGGUAGAGCACUCCACUGGAAAUGGAGAGGUUCUUGCUUCGAUACCCGGAGCAGGAG